UUUCCCAUCAGCCUUCCCGCUAUUUAAACCGGCCUCUUUCUUCAUGCUUUGGCUUAUUUCUUUUUGUUUUGUUUUUUUUUGUCUUGAUUCUGUGCCUGUUUGCCUCCUGGCCUGCUCGUCUGCAUGCUUCAUACAAACUGUGGGCUGAAAAAUUACCUGGCCACCUGGAUCUCUCUGGAGCACCACUCACUCUCAAGCCGAACUGUGUGCGCAGUGUACUCGCUUGCCUGCAUCCAUGUCUGUAUGAAUGUGGGUGAAAUGCAUGUCAGGGUCACCUCCUUACCCGGCUCCUCCUCGGUGCAAAUGGCAACUCUCAGACCCCCUCGGUCAACUCUGACACGGGGCUGACACUGAAACAACGCGCAGCCGCCCACACGAACCGUUCAGUAACGAAGAGUCCGGCUGCUUCCGAACCCCCCAUUUGCAGUUCGGGUUGGCAUGUGUCCCGGAGAGCUGAGGCCAUCGGUUGACUUCAGAUUGAAAAAGGAACGAGCCGGGCGAACAGCGAAGCGGUUUUCGGGCUACAGGGAAACGGUCCCUGGAGUGGAGCUGUGGAGGGGGAGAGGGUUGGCUGAGGAUUCAUUAAGUUUCCUCAUCCAGC